rfam:Pseudomonas sp. 20_BN genome assembly, contig: CONTIG000001
UUCGGCUUCGCGACGACUCUUUCGUCGCCCUCUGCAUUCGUCGCCGACGCACUUCUGCCCCUUAUCGCACAACGACCAGUUCGUAUUCUGCUGCGCGGC